rnacentral:rRNA from 1 species
GACGAACGCUGGCGGCGUGCUUAACACAUGCAAGUCGAACGGAAAGGCCCUGCUUUUGUGUGUUGCUCGAGUGGCUAACGGGUGAGUAACAAGUGAGUAACCUGCCCUUGACUUUGGGAUAACUUCAGGUAACUGGGGCUAAUACCGGAUCGUAGCUCCUGCUGCAUGGUGGGGGUUGGAAAGUUUCGGCGGUUGGGGAUGUACUCGCGGCUUAUCAGCUUGUUGGUGGGGUAGUGGCUUACCAAGGCUUUGCCGGGUAGCCGGCCUGAGAGGGUGACCGGCCACAAUGGGACUGAGGUACGGCGCAGACGCCUACGGGAGGCAGCAGUGGGGAAUAUGGCACAAUGGGCGGAAGCCUGAUGCAGAAACGCCGCGGGCGGGAUGAAGGCCUUGGGGUGGGAAACCGCGUACGGCUGUGACGAAGCGUGAUUGACGGUAAUGGGUAAAGAAGCACCGGCUAACUACGUG